rnacentral:misc_RNA from 1 species
GUACUCUUUCCAGGAAAAAGGCCUUAGAUAAAUCUAAAUACAGAGAUUCCUUAAGAGCUGUUGAGAGAUACAUUCCACGGCUGGAGCAAGAUCUUGAGCUGCUUCGGUUGCAAGCUGAAAAUAAAACUGAUGCUCCUGACAAAAAUCAAGAGGCUGGCUUUGAGAAAUUUCAGCCUGAACACCGUUCAGAUCAGCAAAUUGAGGCAUCUGAUAAGCUCAAAAGGAUAAUGAUUGAAAAUGAAGAACAGAGUGAAGAAAAUGAUUCCAUGGUAGAUACAGAUAUAUGCUCAGAUUCUGAAGAUCUUUCAGAUAUUUUU